rnacentral:rRNA from 1 species
AGGUACAGAGGGCAGCUACCCAGCGAUGGGAUGCGAAUCUCGAAAGCCUGUCUCAGUUCGGAUUGGAGGCUGAAACCCGCCUCCAUGAAGUUGGAUUCGCUAGUAAUCGCGCAUCAGCCAUGGCGCGGUGAAUACGUUCCCGGGCCUUGUACACACCGCCCGUCAAGCCAUGGAAGCUGGGGGUGCCUGAAGUUCGUGACCGGAAGGAGCGACCUAGGGCAAAACCGGUGACUGGGGCUAAGUCGUAACAAGGUAAC